AGUGAACGCUGGCGGUAGGCCUAACACGUGCAAGUCGAACGGCAGCACAGUAAGAGCUUGCUCUUACGGGUGGCGAGUGGCGGACGGGUGAGGAAUACAUCGGAAUCUACUUUUUCGUGGGGGAUAACGUAGGGAAACUUACGCUAAUACCGCAUACGACCUACGGGUGAAAGCAGGGGAUCUUCGGACCUUGCGCGAUUGAAUGAGCCGAUGUCGGAUUAGCUAGUUGGCGGGGUAAAGGCCCACCAAGGCGACGAUCCGUAGCUGGUCUGAGAGGAUGAUCAGCCACACUGGAACUGAGACACGGUCCAGACUCCUACGGGAGGCAGCAGUGGGGAAUAUUGGACAAUGGGCGCAAGCCUGAUCCAGCCAUACCGCGUGGGUGAAGAAGGCCUUCGGGUUGUAAAGCCCUUUUGUUGGGAAAGAAAAGCAGCAGGUUAAUACCCCGCUGUUCUGACGGUACCCAAAGAAUAAGCACCGGCUAACUUCGUGC
rnacentral:rRNA from 1 species